GAUGAAGAACGCAGCGAAAUGCGAUAAGUAAUGUGAAUUGCAGAAUUCAGUGAAUCAUCGAAUCUUUGAACGCACCUUGCGCCCUUUGGCCAUUCCGAAGGGCAUGCCUGUUUGAGUAUCAUGAACACCUCAACUCUUCAUGGUUUUCCAUGAUGAGCUUGGACUUUGGGGGUCUUGCUGGCCUGUGGGUCGGCUCCUCUCAAAUGAAUCAGCUUGCCGGUUUUUGGUGGGCAUCACAGGUGUGAUAACUAUCUACGCUUGUGGUUUUCCACCAGGGUAGCCUUCAGCAGUGGAGGUUCACUGGAGCUUACAAAUGUCUCUCCUCUGUGAGGACAGCCCUUUGAAUGUUUGAUCUCAAAUCAGGUAGGACUACCCGCUGAACUUAAGCAUAUCAAUAAGCGGAGGA
rnacentral:misc_RNA from 1 species